CAGUGGUGGAAGAAGUAUUCAGAUCAUUUACUUCAGUAAAAAGUACUAAUACCACACUGUGAAAUGACUCCACUCUGCUCAUUUUAACUACCUAAUAAACUUUUAAGUGGUUUAAUUUAUGAAAAUGGGUAAUAAUUUUAAAUGUAUCAUGUUUUUCAUUUUAAAUCUUGACCCGAAAAGUAAUUAAAGCUGUCAGCUAAAUUUAGGAGUAAAAAGUACAAUAUUUGCCUCAAAAUGUAGUGGAGUAGAAGUAUAAUGUAACCCAGGUUACUAGGCAUUAAACCAGUUCAUCAGUCUAUUGGUAAAAUAAAUAAAUUCAUAUGUUUAUGUGGCAGAAGGAAUAAAUAGGAUUUAGGAUUAAAAUCUUAAAUAUGUCAAUAAAUAAAUAAAUAAUAUUAUUUAUAUAUAAUAUAAUGUUUAUUUCAAUCUGUUUGAAAGAGUAUUUCUAUUUCAUUUCAAGUGUGGUGAAUAUGCCUUUCUGAACGUGUACAAGAUCCAGUGACAUGAGGAGUUCACGUGAUGUAGUGUAACCAAUCAGGCGCUGUCAGGGCCUACGUGCUGCGGUGUUUUGGUUUUUCCUUUUUCUCUCUGCCGGACCGACGUGAAGGCGGCUGCAUGCUACCUUUUUCCUGCACAUGUUAACGUUUUUGACCAAGAGAGCAAGAUAUUCAGACUUCUUCAUUAAUACUUUUCGUUGCCGUGGAGAGCGAGAUUCCCUCUUUUUAUCAAGAAGACGAGAGAGCGUGAGUAAUGUUAAUUAGCAGCCCUGGCGCUAGUUUAGCGGCGCUAGCCACAUUAGCUUCGCUAAAUUCAUUUUGUAAAAAUAUACAGUGCUGAACUCCUGUGUCCCUGUUUCUUAUCAAGUGUAGCCUGGAUUGAUGAGAGUCCUGUGAAGCUGUAUUGCCCUGUGAACCUGUGUUUUGCUGGAGAUUGUGUGUGUGUCAUAAUUGAACCUCCGGCCGGGUCUUUUUCUUUUCAUGGCAUGAUUCCUGGUUCCAAGACCUGUGUGGAAAUUUCCUCUACUGAGAUUCUUCUUAUACUGUAAGGUGGAAGGAGACUCAGUUGAGGUGGCGAGCCAAACAAAACAAAAACAGAACUGUAACUUUGUCAUUAACUUUGUGAUUUUGGGGAUUCAAUUUUUGUGAACUGUUGUUGACACCUGAAGUGUUUAUUGAUACUCAUCCAUUUUUAUUUCAUUUAAUAUUUUUCUACCUUUUAAAAAGAGUUUCUUAUUCAAUACAAAAGAAUACUACAUAAAAACCUUAGCUGGU